UACGUAGGGUGCGAGCGUUGUCCGGAAUUAUUGGGCGUAAAGGGCUCGUAGGCGGUUUGUCGCGUCGGGAGUGAAAAUCCAGGGCUUAACUCUGGACUGGCUUCCGAUACGGGCAGACUAGAGGUAUGCAGGGGAGAACGGAAUUCCUGGUGUAGCGGUGAAAUGCGCAGAUAUCAGGAGGAACACCGGUGGCGAAGGCGGUUCUCUGGGCAUUACCUGACGCUGAGGAGCGAAAGGUGUGGGGAGCGAACAGG
rnacentral:rRNA from 1 species